UUGGCAAAAGGCAAUCCAAUGGCCAGGAUGAUGGGUGUUGUAGCCCAGCAACAUCUGGAGGGACACAGGUUCCCUACUCCUGGGCCAUACAUUUAACCAAAACAGAAAGGAGCUGCAUGAUCUAAGCUCAGGAAGGCUGAUGCAGCUGCCAGAGGUCAACUAGAUCUGUCUGUUAAGUGUUCCUGACCUUCAGAGCGGUGGGAGAAAAAAAAGGUAUCAUCAGACAUGUUAAGCAGAGCAAUCCUCUUAACAGCAGAACAUUUUGUGAGAGCUUUAAACAGGAUUACAUAACUUUAUUUGUAGUUCUAAGUGCAAACCUUCCUUCCAACCACCAGGACAAAAUGUUGCACAGGUUUAGUUGCAAGGCUGAUUUGCAAUUUCAGCAAAGAGUCACCGGACCCAAUCUGGGAGCUCAGCUUUGAGGAUAUGCAUGCUAAAAGACUGAUGGACUUUUUCCCCCACAAAGUAAUUUAAAAAAAAAAAGGUACCAUGGUGUUCAGUUGCUGCGCUGCUGCAACUAAACUUAGAAGAGAAGAAAAGCAAGUUGCAGAAGAGGCUCCGAGACCCUUUAUUUGGGGGCAUGUGGCAAUAAAAGUGCCAUGGAUGUUUGUCUCUCGCUGUCCAUUGUUUUGUUCUUUGCAACCAUGGCACUGGACGCUAGCAGUAUACAAAGAACGUGUGCUUUGGACUCCCAACAGUGUGGGUUGCAGGCAGAGCACAGCCGGUCCCUCCCAGUUCUCCCACAGAGCAAUCUCACACCAAUUCAGAAGUGACUAGAAAUGAAUUUGUGGAAAUUGGAGAUGCAGACUUUAGAACAGAGUCAUCAGUGCACAAGUGGACAAGUUUUAAUAUAGGUUCUUCACAGAUCUUACACAGAACAGACUCCUACCAGUCCCAAAAGUGAGUGGAAAUUAAUCAGUAUAAACUUUUAAUGCAGAGUCACAAACAGACAGAACAAUCCUAUACUUUGUCUAUUAGGAAAUCAGUCCCGCUGAGUUGUAACCAAGGAGGGCUAAAUUAAUCCAUGGCUAUUGAAACUAU